rnacentral:rRNA from 1 species
AGCUUGCUCUUAUGAAGUUAGCGGCGGACSGGUGAGUAACACGUGGGUAACCUGCCCAUAAGACUGGGAUAACUCCGGGAAACCGGGGCUAAUACCGGAUAACAUUUUGAACCGCAUGGUUCGAAAUUGAAAGGCGGCUUCGGCUGUCACUUAUGGAUGGACCCGCGUCGCAUUAGCUAGUUGGUGAGGUAACGGCUCACCAAGGCAACGAUGCGUAGCCGACCUGAGAGGGUGAUCGGCCACACUGGGACUGAGACACGGCCCAGACUCCUACGGGAGGCAGCAGUAGGGAAUCUUCCGCAAUGGACGAAAGUCUGACGGAGCAACGCCGCGUGAGUGAUGAAGGCUUUCGGGUCGUAAAACUCUGUUGUUAGGGAAGAACAAGUGCUAGUUGAAUAAGCUGGCACCUUGACGGUACCUAACCAGAAAGCCACGGCUAACUACGUGCCAGCAGCCGCGGUAAUACGUAGGUGGCAAGCGUUAUCCGGAAUUAUUGGGCGUAAAGCGCGCGCAGGUGGUUUCUUAAGUCUGAUGUGAAAGCCCACGGCUCAACCGUGGAGGGUCAUUGGAAACUGGGAGACUUGAGUGCAGAAGAGGAAAGUGGAAUUCCAUGUGUAGCGGUGAAAUGCGUAGAGAUAUGGAGGAACACCAGUGGCGAAGGCGACUUUCUGGUCUGUAACUGACACUGAGGCGCG